UAAGCAGCGCUUUAUAACUGCAGCCUUUCACUUCCUGCUCCCCAGUCUGCCUGGCCCAGCCAACACUUCACCUUCUUUCUUAGCCAGUUUGCUGGGAGAACACCCUACCGGUAGCACAUCUUACCGUAUUCACCCCCUCCCAUCAAACUCGCCCCAAUUCUCUCUCCACAUCCAGAGCUCUCUCCCCAGGUUGGAAGGUGAGUUCACUGCUGACUUAAAUUAAGCGCUGAUGCGAGAGUUUCCGGGGAGUCCCGCCAGGGUCCUUCCCCAGACACCUGAAGAGAUGGGGGAAGGAGAAUCAAUUUGGAGAGCCAAGUUUGCCUGACAUUUUGGAGCACACAUUUACCCAGGACCCCAAGUUCCUUGUAGCUGCUAAAUGCUGUACUAGUUCUAAAAUGUAAAUUAGCUUCAAGGCAAGUGGAGAGAAGCCUUAGACUAUUCUGAGAUAUUUGUUCAUUCAUUUCUUUGCUUUGAGAAAGAAUCCUCCCAACGUGAUGGGAAAGAUAUCUCUGGGCCACAUUAUGGCUUCUGGCAGCAACUCUCAUCCUUAGUGCCUAGAUCUGGAGCCCCCACCAACCCUUUGUCCCCAAGUUACAUUUCCUUAGUCCAGGCCUAUUCCACCAUUUCAUCUUCUUUCUCCCUUCCUCGCUGAGGGGCAGAGGCCGCCUUUCUUUUGCCCAAGCUGAGAGGGAGAAUUCCUGAUCCCUAGGAAAAAUGCUGUCUCCACUCCCAAGGAACUUUGUGUAGUUUAGGAAUUGCAUUUUGUAAAAUCAAAUUGCCUGUUGCAAUAUGUUUCCAUGAAGAAAAAUCCCGCCUUCAACUUCUACGUUAUUCAUCCUGCUUUUAGAAAUGACCCUUGCCCUGAUCUGAGGUGGAAGAAAUAAAGGUCUGGUAAAGAAAUGAU
rnacentral:lncRNA from 1 species